UACGUAGGGUGCGAGCGUUGUCCGGAAUUAUUGGGCGUAAAGGGCUCGUAGGCGGUUUGUCGCGUCGGGAGUGAAAUCCACUGGCUUAACUGGUGGCUUGCUUUCGAUACGGGCAGACUGGAGGUAUGCAGGGGAGAACGGAAUUCCUGGUGUAGCGGUGAAAUGCGUAGAUAUCAGGAGGAACACCGGUGGUGUAGACGGCUAUCUGGACCGUAACUGACGCUGAGGCACGAAAGCGUGGGGAGCGAACAGG
rnacentral:rRNA from 1 species